UUAGUCAAGUAAGUAAGGGCGUACGGCGGAUGCCUUGGCCAUAUCAGCCGAAGAAGGACGCGAUAAGCUGCGAUAAGCUGCGGUGAGGUGCAAGUAACCUUUGACCCGCAGGUCUCCGAAUGGGGAAACCCGGCAGCAGUAGUGCUGUCAUCCUCUAUGAGGAAGGGCACCCGGUGAACUGAAACAUCUAAGUAGCCGGAGGAAAAGGAAUCAACAGAGAUACCCCUAGUAGCGGCGAGCGAACGGGGCAGAGCCCAAACCGGAAUGGGAAACCAAUCCGGGGUUGUGGACUGCUAUCAAAUGCAUGAGUGAAGCAGAAUGAGCUGGGAAGCUCAGCCAGAGAGAGUGAGAGCCUCGUAGGCGUAAGCAAAUGCAUGGAGCAGGAUCCAGAGUACCACGGGACACGAGAAACCCUGUGGGAAGCUGGGGGGACCACCCUCCAAGGCGAAACACUGAUAUGGACCGAUAGCGCAUAGUACCGUGAGGGAAAGGUGAAAAGAACCCCGGGAGGGGAAUGAAAGAGAACCUGAAACCGUAUGUCUACAAGCAGUCGAAGACCUUUAUAUGGUCGACGGCGUGCCUAUUGAAGAAUGAACCGGCGAGUUACUUCAGCUAGCGAGGUUAAGCGGAAAACGUGGAGCCGAAGCGAAAGCGAGUCUGAACAGGGCGUAUAGUUAGUUGGAGUAGACCCGAAACCACAGUGAUCUACCCAUGUCCAGGUUGAAGCACAGGUAAAAAUGUGUGGAGGACCGAACCAGUGAGCGUUGAAAAGCUUUUGGAUGAGAUGUGGGUAGGGGUGAAAUGCCAAUCGAACGUGGAGAUAGCUGGUUCUCCCCGAAAUAGCUUUAGGGCUAGCCUCAUGGCGAGAGUACAGGCGGUAGAGCACUGAACGGGGUAGGGGCCUAUCCGGCUACUGAACCUAAUCAAACUGCGAAUGGCUGUACUUAUCCAUGGGAGUCAGACUGUGAGUAAUAAGGCCCAUAGUCAAGAGGGAAACAGCCCAGACCAACAGCUAAGGUCCCCAAUGCCGUACUAAGUGGCGAAGGAUGUGGAAUUUCGAAAACAACCAGGAUGUUGGCUCAGAAGCAGCCACCAUUAAAAGAGUGCGUAAUAGCUCACUGGUCGAGAGACUCUGCGCCGAAGAUGUCCGGGGCUAAAGUACGGAACCGAAGCUUUGGCAAUUGACAUUAGUCAAUUGGGUAGGGGAGCGUUCCUGCAUGGGAGAAGCCUGACCGGAAGGACAGGUGGACAGGCAGGAAGAGAGAAUGCCGGUAUGAGUAGCGAAAAGAAGGGUGAGAAUCCCUUCCACCGAAAGCCUAAGGGUUCCUGGGCAACGAUCGUCGUCCCAGGGUAAGUCGGGACCUAAUCCGAGGCGGAGACGCGUAGGAGAUGGACAACAGGUUGAAAUUCCUGUACUGGCUGAGGCCGUUUGAGCGAAGGAGUGACACAGGAAGGAAGGCGCGCGUGCGAUUGGAAGAGCACGUCCAAGCAGGUAGGUUGGGAGACAGGCAAAUCCGUUUCCCAUGAGGCCGAGAUGCGAUGGGGAGCUUCUGGAGACAGAAGCGAAGGGGCUGGCACUAAACUGUCGAGAAAAGCUUCUAGUGAGGACUCAGGCACCCGUACCGAAACCGACACAGGUAGGCAGGAUGAGAAUUCUAAGGUGCGCGGGAAAACCCUCGUUAAGGAACUCGGCAAAAUAUAUCCGUAACUUCGGGAAAAGGAUAACCCAGCGUACGUGAAGUGCAGAAGCGCACGGAGCGGAGAUGGGUGGCAGAAGAGAGGCCCAAGCGACUGUUUACCACAAACACAGGCGUCUGCUAAAGCGAAAGCUGAUGUAUAGAUGCUGACACCUGCCCGGUGCUGGAAGGUUAAGAGGAAGUGUUAGCGCAAGCGAAGCAGUGAAUUGAAGCCCCAGUAAACGGCGGCCGUAACUAUAACGGUCCUAAGGUAGCGAAAUUCCUUGUCGGGUAAGUUCCGACCCGCACGAAAGGUGUAACGAUUUGGGCACUGUCUCAACGAGGGACCCGGUGAAAUUGAAGUACCUGUGAAGAUGCAGGUUACCCGCGACUGGACAGAAAGACCCCAUGGAGCUUUACUGUAACCUGAGAUUGGAUUCCGGUAAGAGAUGUACAGGAUAGUUGGGAGGCUU
rnacentral:rRNA from 1 species